CCUACGGGAGACAGCAGUAGGGAAUCUUCCAUAAUGGGCGAAAGCCUGAUGGAGCAACGCCGCGUGGGUGAAGAAGGUCUUCGGAUCGUAAAACCCUGUUGUUAGAGAAGAAAGUGCGUGAGAGUAACUGUUCACGUUUCGACGGUAUCUAACCAGAAAGCCACGGCUAACUACGUGCCAGCAGCCGCGGUAAUACGUAGGUGGCAAGCGUUAUCCGGAUUUAUUGGGCGUAAAGGGAACGCAGGCGGUCUUUUAAGUCUGAUGUGAAAGCCCUCGGCUUAACCGGAGUAGUGCAUUGGAAACUGGGCGACUAGAGUGCAGUAGCGGAGAGUGGAACUCCAGGUGUAGCGGUGAAAUGCGUAGAUAUAUGGAAGAACACCAGUGGCGAAAGCGGCUCUCUGGUCUGUAACUGACGCUGAGGUUCGAAAGCGUGGGUAGCAAACAGGAUUAGAUACCCCUGUAGUC
rnacentral:rRNA from 1 species